AGAGUUUGAUCCUGGCUCAGAACGAACGCUGGCGGCAUGCCUAACACAUGCAAGUCGAACGAGACCUUCGGGUCUAGUGGCGCACGGGUGCGUAACACGUGGGAAUCUGCCCUUCGGUUCGGAAUAACAGUUAGAAAUGACUGCUAAUACCGGAUAACGACGUAAGUCCAAAGAUUUAUCGCCGAAGGAUGAGCCCGCGUAGGAUUAGGUAGUUGGUGGGGUAAUGGCUCACCAAGCCGACGAUCCUUAGCUGGUCUGAGAGGAUGAUCAGCCACACUGGGACUGAGACACGGCCCAGACUCCUACGGGAGGCAGCAGUGGGGAAUAUUGGACAAUGGGCGAAAGCCUGAUCCAGCAAUGCCGCGUGAGUGAUGAAGGCCUUAGGGUUGUAAAGCUCUUUUACCAGGGAUGAUAAUGACAGUACCUGGAGAAUAAGCUCCGGCUAACUCCGUGCCAGCAGCCGCGGUAAUACGGAGGGAGCUAGCGUUGUUCGGAAUUACUGGGCGUAAAGCGCACGUAGGCGGCUAUUCAAGUCGGGGGUGAAAGCCCGGGGCUCAACCCCGGAACUGCCCUCNAAACUAGAUAGCCUAGAAUCUUGGAGAGGCGAGUGGAAUUCCGAGUGUAGAGGUGAAAUUCGUAGAUAUUCGGAAGAACCCAGNGGGCGAAGGCGACUCGCUGGACAGU
rnacentral:rRNA from 1 species